GAGUAACACGUAUCCAACCUGCCGAUAACUCCGGAAUAGCCUUUCGAAAGAAAGAUUAAUACCGGAUAGCAUACGAAUAUCGCAUGAUAUUUUUAUUAAAGAAUUUCGGUUAUCGAUGGGGAUGCGUUCCAUUAGUUUGUUGGCGGGGUAACGGCCCACCAAGACAACGAUGGAUAGGGGUUCUGAGAGGAAGGUCCCCCACAUUGGAACUGAGACACGGUCCAAACUCCUACGGGAGGCAGCAGUGAGGAAUAUUGGUCAAUGGGCGAGAGCCUGAACCAGCCAAGUAGCGUGAAGGAUGAAGGCUCUAUGGGUCGUAAACUUCUUUUAUAUGGGAAUAAAGUUUUCCACGUGUGGAAUUUUGUAUGUACCAUAUGAAUAAGGAUCGGCUAACUCCGUGCCAGCAGCCGCGGUAAUACGGAGGAUCCGAGCGUUAUCCGGAUUUAUUGGGUUUAAAGGGAGCGUAGGUGGAUUGUUAAGUCAGUUGUGAAAGUUUGCGGCUCAACCGUAAAAUUGCAGUUGAAACUGGCAGUCUUGAGUACAGUAGAGGUGGGCGGAAUUCGUGGUGUAGCGGUGAAAUGCUUAGAUAUCACGAAGAACUCCGAUUGCGAAGGCAGCUCACUAGACUGUCACUGACACUGAUGCUCGAAAGUGUGGGUAUCAAACAGGAUUAGAUACCCUGGUAGUCCACACAGUAAACGAUGAAUACUCGCUGUUUGCGAUAUACAGUAAGCGGCCAAGCGAAAGCAUUAAGUAUUCCACCUGGGGAGUACGCCGGCAACGGUGAAACUCAAAGGAAUUGACGGGGGCCCGCACAAGCGGAGGAACAUGUGGUUUAAUUCGAUGAUACGCGAGGAACCUUACCCGGGCUUAAAUUGCAACAGAAUAUAUUGGAAACAGUAUAGCCGUAAGGCUGUUGUGAAGGUGCUGCAUGGUUGUCGUCAGCUCGUGCCGUGAGGUGUCGGCUUAAGUGCCAUAACGAGCGCAACCCUUAUCUUUAGUUACUAACAGGUGAUGCUGAGGACUCUAGAGAGACUGCCGUCGUAAGAUGUGAGGAAGGUGGGGAUGACGUCAAAUCAGCACGGCCCUUACGUCCGGGGCUACACACGUGUUACAAUGGGGGGUACAGAAGGCGGCUACCUGGUGACAGGAUGCUAAUCCCAAAAACCUCUCUCAGUUCGGAUCGAAGUCUGCAACCCGACUUCGUGAAGCUGGAUUCGCUAGUAAU
rnacentral:rRNA from 1 species